CUUCUAGAUGAGCAAGAGAUAGUACAAAAACGUACUUUCACAAAAUGGAUCAACUCUCAUCUGGCCAAGCGGAAACCCCCACUGGUGGUAGAUGAUCUUUUUGAGGACAUAAAAGAUGGUGUUAAGCUGCUUGCUCUUCUGGAGGUCCUGUCUGGGCAGAAACUGCCAUGUUGAACAAG